GACGAACGCUGGCGGCGUGCCUAAUACAUGCAAGUAGAACGCACAGUUUAUACCGUAGCUUGCUACACCAUAGACUGUGAGUUGCGAACGGGUGAGUAACGCGUAGGUAACCUGCCUGGUAGCGGGGGAUAACUAUUGGAAACGAUAGCUAACACCGCAUAAUAUUGAUUAUUGCAUGAUAAUUGAUUGAAAGAUGCUAUUGCAUCACUACCAGAUGGACCUGCGUUGUAUUAGCUAGUAGGUGAGGUAACGGCUCACCUAGGCGACGAUACAUAGCCGACCUGAGAGGGUGAUCGGCCACACUGGGACUGAGACACGGCCCAGACUCCUACGGGAGGCAGCAGUAGGGAAUCUUCGGCAAUGGACGAAAGUCUGACCGAGCAACGCCGCGUGAGUGAAGAAGGUUUUCGGAUCGUAAAGCUCUGUUGUAAGAGAAGAACGGGUGUGAGAGUGGAAAGUUCACACUGUGACGGUAUCUUACCAGAAAGGGACGGCUAACUACGUG
rnacentral:rRNA from 1 species